rnacentral:pre_miRNA from 1 species
AUGAGAUGGAAUCAGCGUUUGGACCUGCGAUUGAAUGCUGAUUCCAUCUCAUGA